UACAUGGGGUGCAAACGUUGCUCGGAAUCAUUGGGCGUAAAGCGCACGUAGGCGGUUCGUUAUGUCGGAUGUGAAAGCCCUCGGCUUAACCGGGGAAGUGCAUCCGAAACUGGCGAGCUUGAGUACUAAAGAGGGUCGCGGAAUUCCCGGUGUGGAGGUGAAAUUCGUAGAUAUCGGGAGGAACACCAGCAGCGAAGGCGGCGACCUGGGUAGAUACUGACGCUGAGGUGCGAAAGCGUGGGGAGCAAACAGG
rnacentral:rRNA from 1 species